rnacentral:rRNA from 1 species
GGCGAGCGGCGGACGGGUGAGUAAUGUCUGGGAAACUGCCUGAUGGAGGGGGAUAACUACUGGAAACGGUAGCUAAUACCGCAUAACGUCGCAAGACCAAAGAGGGGGACCUUCGGGCCUCUUGCCAUCAGAUGUGCCCAGAUGGGAUUAGCUAGUAGGUGGGGUAACGGCUCACCUAGGCGACGAUCCCUAGCUGGUCUGAGAGGAUGACCAGCCACACUGGAACUGAGACACGGUCCAGACUCCUACGGGAGGCAGCAGUGGGGAAUAUUGCACAAUGGGCGCAAGCCUGAUGCAGCCAUGCCGCGUGUAUGAAGAAGGCCUUCGGGUUGUAAAGUACUUUCAGCGGGGAGGAAGGCGGUGAGGUUAAUAACCUCAUCGAUUGACGUUACCCGCAGAAGAAGCACCGGCUAACUCCGUGCCAGCAGCCGGCGGUAAUACGGAGGGUGCAAGCGUUAAUCGGAAUUACUGGGCGUAAAGCGCACGCAGGCGGUCUGUCAAGUCGGAUGUGAAAUCCCCGGGCUCAACCUGGGAACUGCAUUCGAAACUGGCAGGCUAGAGUCUUGUAAAGGGGGGUAGAAUUCCAGGUGUAGCGGUGAAAUGCGUAAAGAUCUGGAGGAAUACCGGUGGCGAAGGCGGCCCCCUGGACAAAGACUGACGCUCAGGUGCGAAAGCGUGGGGAGCAAACAGGAUUAGAUACCCUGGUAGUCCACGCCGUAAACGAUGUCGACUUGGAGGUUGUGCCCUUGAGGCGUGGCUUCCGGAGCUAACGCGUUAAGUCGACCGCCUGGGGAGUACGGCCGCAAGGUUAAAACUCAAAUGAAUUGACGGGGGCCCGCACAAGCGGUGGAGCAUGUGGUUUAAUUCGAUGCAACGCGAAGAACCUUACCUACUCUUGACAUCCAGAGAACUUUCCAGAGAUGGAUUGGUGCCUUCGGGAACUCUGAGACAGGUGCUGCAUGGCUGUCGUCAGCUCGUGUUGUGAAAUGUUGGGUUAAGUCCCGCAACGAGCGCAACCCUUAUCCUUUGUUGCCAGCGGUUCGGCCGGGAACUCAAAGGAGACUGCCAGUGAUAAACUGGAGGAAGGUGGGGAUGACGUCAAGUCAUCAUGGCCCUUACGAGUAGGGCUACACACGUGCUACAAUGGCGCAUACAAAGAGAAGCGACCUCGCGAGAGCAAGCGGACCUCAUAAAGUGCG